AGUUCACCACUGCCAGCCCAUGGAUGCCCACUCCAUCACUUCCAGCCCAUUGAUGCCCAGUCCACCAAUGACAGCCCAUUGAUGGCCAAUCCAUGGAUGCCUAGACCAUCAAUUCCCACCCCAUUGAUGCCCACUCCAUCACUGCCAGCCCACUGAUGCCCACUCCAUCUCUUCCAGCCCAUUGAUUCCCAGUCCACCACUGCCAGCCCAUUGAUGCCAGCCCAGUUCUUCCCAGUCCACCAAUGCCAGCCCACUGAUGCCAGCCCAGUUCAUCCCAGUUCACCACUUCCAGCCCACUGAUGCCCACUCCAUGGAUGCCCACUCCAUCACUUCCAGCCCAUUGAUUCCCACUCCACCACUGCCAGCCCAUUGAUGGCCAGCCCAUGGAUGCCCACUCCAUCACUGCUCAGCCCAGUUCUUCCCAGUCUAUUGAUGCCCACUCCAUCACUUCCAGCCAUUGAUGCCCAGUCCACCACUGCCAGCCCAUCGAUGCCAGCCCAGUUCUUCCCAGUCUAUCACUUCCAGCCCAUCGAUUCCCACUCCAUCACUUCCCAGCCCAGUGCUUCCCAGUCCACCAACGCAGUCCAUCAGUGCCCCCCAACCCCCCCCUCCCCCCCCCCCCCCCACAGACGUUGGUCCAUUCUUGCACUCCGUGGGGCCGUCGCCUCUCUCCCCUCUCCCCCCUCCAACGGCGGUCGUAGUGGGGGGUGAGAGGUGGGGAGGGGGGGGGGGGGGGUCCUCCUUCACCCCUCAGCCCCACUCAGUGCCAGCCCAGAGGAGCGCUGGGUGGACUCUAAGGCUGAUUUAAGACAGCUCGUUAAGCACACGCGCUAAUGAGAGGUGGGGGGGGGGGGCGGGGGGUAGCGGAUGUGAACCAGAGGGUGCUGAGAGCUGCCAAUGUCUGUGCGAAGCAAAGUUGUUGGGGGGGGGGGGGGGGGAGAGCUGGAGGUCCCUUUUUGGGCACAUCCUUCCUCUUCCUCCUCCUCCUCCUCCUCCCUCCUCCUCCUCCUCCUCCUCCUCUCUUUGAAUCCUCGGCUUUAGGACACGGUGGGGUCCUUGGGUUUGGGUUGCUCAGUCCCGGAUAGGAGGGAGAUGGUGGGGUCUUCGUUGUAUUCGUCCCCGUCGGUGAAAUAGGAGCCCUCCCCCAACUCGAAGAAGAUGGGGAGGUCUCCGCUGCCCACGUCCACCGCGCUCGAAUCCACCAGGAAGAGGGGCUGAGCCGUGUAGUGAACCAACUGCUUCCCUGCAAGGCAGCCAGGCGUGGGAUGGGGGGUGGGGACGGGGGGGGGGGGAUGGGGAGGUGGGGAUGGGAUAGGAGGGGGAUGGGAUGGGAUGGGGAGGGGGUGGGGAAGUGGGAUGGGAUGGGAUGGGAAUGGGGACGUGGGGAUGGGAUGGGAUGGGGAG
rnacentral:lncRNA from 7 species